rnacentral:rRNA from 1 species
GGCGAACGCUAGCGGUACGCCUAACACAUGCAAGUCGAGCGGGAUUUUUCUAGAAGCUUGCUUCUGAAAAACAAGAGCGGCAAAGGGGUGAGUAACACGUUGGUACUUGCCCCUUGGUCAGGGAUAGCCCAUCGAAAGAUGGAUUAAUACCGGAUAGUCUCUUCGGAGUAAAGAUUUAUCGCCAAGGGAGUGGCCUGCGUUCUAUCAGCUAGUUGGUGAGGUAAUGGCUUACCAAGGCUAUGACGGAUAACUGGUCUGAGAGGAUGAUCAGUCACAAUGGAACUGAGACACGGUCCAUACUCCUACGGGAGGCAGCAGUGAGGAAUAUUCCACAAUGGGCGAAAGCCUGAUGGAGCGAUACCGCGUGAAGGAUGAAGGUCUAACGAUUGUAAACUUCUUUUCUGAGGGAGCAUAAUGAUAGUACCUCAGGAAUAAGGGACGGCUAAUUACGUGCCAGCAGCCGCGGUAAUACGUAAGUCCCAAGCGUUGCCCGGAAUUACUGGGUGUAAAGGGUUAGUAGGCGGUUUAGUAAGUUGGAUAUGAAAGACCGGAGCUC